AGCAAAAGCAAAUAAUAAUAAAUCCUCUUCAAACACAUGAAGCACAGGAAGCCUGCUGGAGAGUCAGAAGUUGGCCAUGGUGCAACAGGAGCUCUCACAGGAGAUAAGGUGGGAACAAGGAAAAGAACAAAGUGGGUGUUUUGCAACCACAGUCGGCGAGGACAAGCUCUGAGAAGCAUCUGUGCCAAAACUCUGUGUAAGGACAUGGCACAGGAUUUGACUUACAUUCAAGCUACCUGCUGAGGAGGCUGAGGAAAAAAUAGCCAAACCAAAGACUGCAAAUUCACUGGGCUGAAGUGGCAUUCUCUUAAGUGCUCAGGAUGAGGAACCAGGAUGAAACAAUUCAAUUACUUAAUUGUAGCAGGUUCACCUGAAUCUCAUCUCCAUCCAAGCUGCACCACAGGCUGAUCACUGGCUUUGGGUUUAGUGCAAACCCAGGAGUCUCGUGGGAACCAACACUGCAGGAUGGGUCCUUCAGCACUGGCAGGGGCCAUUCAUUCAGCAGCCAUGGAGGAGCAGGACUUGGCCCAAAGCAAUAGAGGUUUCUCACGGCUGGGAUUCCCAAACAGCUCCAGGAGCUGUCACUGAUGGUAACUGAUAGCUCAACGAUUCAGUGAUUACUCAGUUUUUGCUCCAUCCACAUCCCAGUACUUCAGUUUGGCAAAAUAACAACAAGACUUUGUUCUGACGUUGGAGCCCCGCAGGAGAAAUGUUGAAGUCCAAAGUGGCUGUGUUAUAUUUAAGAUGGAAAGAAAAAUAUUGUUGUUAAAGGAGAGUUUGUGUGAGCAUCUCUCUGCAAACAUCCAGACACUGAAGCUCAGAUCCACUCCCUGCACCAUGCCCAAUCCUUGCUGUAAUUUAAAGCGCUGUGCACACGAAUGAAAACUGCUGUCUUGCACGUUUUCUAUUACUGUUAGGAUUCAGGCGGAGUUGGAAAUGCAGCACUCACACUCUGCACAGCAGAGCCCAUCUUGCUCUGAUGCACUUUGCCUGGCAUGGGGUUCUGCAAGGGAGUGGCAGCUGUGAGCUGAUCCUGCAGAGAGCGAGGCCAAGGAGCAAGGAGAGGAGGCAGAAACUCACAGGCAAGAUGACUCAGAGAGCUCAGCUGGAGGAUGAUAAGGGAUGCAUUUAGCCUUUCCCUCCUGGUGGGCGGAAGGAAACUAUUUGUGAUGGUUAUGGCAGAAGGAGUGAGAAGCUGGAAGGGAGGUGAGGAAAAGAGAUCUGGGGUUUGCCAUAUUGUGUGUUUGUAUUUACAGGGCUUUCCAUAGCUCCUUUGUGGCCUGAAGUGCAUACCUGAGCCCACACUAAUGACAAGAAGCAGCUCUGGGCACCACGGGGACACUCCCACAGGAGCUGCACACGCAUUCAGGGCUGUCAGCAGCUCCUGACCACAGCAAGGAUGUAUCAAAAUAGGCACCAUGCAUUGUAGCUGAGGCAUCACACAAAGAUGCAGGCACCAAAGAGUCAUAGGUUAAGAUCCUGUUGGCAAGGAUAACAAAUUCCACAUCUGCAAAUAUAAUAGCCCAGGGCACAGGAAAAGAGUGCAUACGGUGUGUGCACAUUGCAAGGGGGUUAUGCGUUCUGCUGACUCUGUGCCCCACUUCCAAGCUGCCCUGAGGGGAGGAAAAAGAACAGUCCCAGUUACUAUGGUGAAAUCAGAUGGGCUGAAUGGGAUUUGGCCGGGACUCGGGACGGGCAGCAGCUGAAUCUGUCAGCGCUCCACAAGACCUGUGUGCCACUGCAAAUCUUCAGCAGAACUGCAGCCAACAGCAGUGUGCUCAAGUGGAAAAGGUGGAUGUCAUCGUGUGAGAAACGGUGCAGCAGUGUGCCAUUGUGUGCAGCCAGCACAGGGCUGGUAUGGCAUGGGAUGGAGGAUCUGGCCCUGUUCUGGCCACGGUGGGGAUUUGGGCCAGCUGGGCACAAAGGGACACCAGUGGUGCAGAAGUGCAGACUGUGAGCAAAGGCUGAAAGAAGAAAUGACUCUUCCAGGAGAAGUAAAGAGCUGGAGAGAGCCACAGCAACACAUUCCAGUCCUAUCAAAGGCUGAAGGCAGGUCAGCAUGAGCAGCAGUGGGGAAACUCAGACAAAAACAAAAGGUGUGCAACGCUGCAGACAGCAAAGCAGUGCACCAGGCUUCCAGGGGGACACAUGGCUGCCACAGAGGCACAGCUUAUCAGUACCAUUCCAUACCUGUGUAACCAGUAGUCAGAUUUCACAAAGGUUUUAAAAAUUAUGAGGAAAACUGAAGGGGAAAAAAUCAACAACUGUUAGAGUGGGAGAAUUAGCAGUUCCUUCAGAGGCACUUGCAAUACAUCACAAAAGCUAAUUCUGCACAGUCAAGAAAACAUAAUUCUGGCUGCAGACCCAUCCUCUAAGUUGGUAACCUGAAAACAGCAGUUGGAAGCAAAGUGACGGUAUAUACAAAGAGGAAUAAAGUAAUAAAGAGCAAUCAAUACAUAGCAAUCACCAAAGUGAGUUAUGAGGCAGAUAUUGAUAAAAUAAAUGGACAGAGGAAAAUCCAUGGCUGGCAAAGCCAUGAGCAGUGAGCAGCUGUUCUCUAAAUGCGUUAGGAACAAGAGAAACACUGCAGGUCUGUCCCAUAGAGCUGGAGGAGCAUUAGCAGCAUUGGUCAGAGACAGCCCUGGGUGUCUCCAGUCCAUCCUCAUGCUGAGGGCAGGGCUGAGGGCAAUGUGACCCCGCCUUGCUCACAGUUCACCUGGACCAAAUUAGGAAUCUCCCAGCACAGAGGAG
rnacentral:lncRNA from 1 species